rnacentral:ncRNA from 1 species
UAUUGGUGAGAAUCCAAUGCCCCRAAAACCUAAGGGUUCCUCCGCAAGGUUCGUCCACAAAGGGUGAGUUAGGGCCUAAGAUUAGGCCAAAAUGCAUAAUCGAUGGACAACAGGUAAAUAAUCCUAUACUACCCCUUGUUAGUCCCGAGGGAUGGAAGAGGCUAGGUUAGCCCAAAGAUGGUUAUCGAUUCAAGGAUGCAAGGUGACCUUGCUUUUUCAGGGUAAGAAAAUGCCUGGAACCAAUAUCUAAGUACCAAGCACUACGGCGCUGAAGUAACCCAUGCCAUACUCCUAAAAAAAGCUCAAACGACCUUCAAUAAAAGGCUACCUGUACCUAAAACUGACACAAGUGGGUAGGUAGAGAAUACCUAGGGG